rnacentral:rRNA from 1 species
AUUGAACGCUGGCGGCGUGCUUAACACAUGCAAGUCGAUCGGUAACAGGUGUAGCAAUACAUGCUGACGAGAGGCGGACGGGUGAGUAAUGCUUGGGAAUCUGCCUAUUAGUGGGGGACAACCCGGGGAAACUCGGGCUAAUACCGCAUACGCUCUACGGAGGAAAGCCGGGGACCGCAAGGCCUGGCGCUAAUAGAUGAGCCCAAGUCGGAUUAGCUAGUUGGUAGGGAACGGCCUACCAAGGCGACAAUCCGUAGCUGGUCUGAGAGGACGACCAGCCACACCGGAACUGAGACACGGUCCGGACUCCUACGGGAGGCAGCAGUGGGGAAUAUUGGACAAUGGGGGCAACCCUGAUCCAGCGACGCCGCGUGGGUGAAGAAGGCCUGCGGGUUGUAAAGCCCUUUCGGUGGGGAAGAAAAGUCUCGACCUAAUACGUCGGGACCUUGACGUAACCCACUAAAGAAGCACCGGCUAACUCUGUGCCAGCCGCCGCCGUAAU